CCUGAUUAAGAAAGUUAUUGUCUGGAGGCUGUAUUUGCAUGACAGCAAAUAAGGUCAACCUGCAUUGUCCAGUGUUGAGGAAAAAAUAACCUUUGGAGAAAAGGAAGGCAAAUUGCCCUGUUCUGAGUCAUCAGGAGCUGUUAUGCUGAAGGAAGGAGACAUUCUUGAGGAAAAAGUUGCUGGCACUGUUCUACAGCAAGGGAAAAGCUGCAUUAUACUCUUAAGAUCAUCGUAAGAACUCCCUCAGAAAUCUCAUCCUCAUUUUCUUUACUGUUUUGCAAAUACUGAAGAAUCUCUACAAAAAAAGAGAGUUUUGUGGACAACCAAAAGUCGACAACACAACCAUAGGAGGAGAAAAGAAGUUCUGGAAAGGACCCUACUCAUGAAUCUGGUUAGGUUUAAAAUCCAUUUGGGGUUUGCUAUGUACAUGGGCCAGUGUCUGUGAGAAUGCCAGCGAAAUAUGAAAAGGUCUGAGGAGCAAGCUAUUGGAAGCCGUGCCAAGGAAAAUAAACACUGACAAGGACAGAGGAAAAACAGAUUUUUUUAAAUAAGACAGAUGUCUCCAAAUCAAGAAGGCUUCAUGAAAUCUUUUCUUGACUGUUUCAGGAGCUAGUCAAAACAGUCUUUCGAGUCAUUGGCAAUCAUCUUUGAGAACUUAUGGAGGACAGGGAGAAAAAGCAGGAGGAGGAAGAGAAGGAGGAGAAGGAGGAGACUGAUGGAAGAGGUACCAAAACCAAAAGAGUUGAGAGGGGACCAAUCCAGCUGCUAUGAAUAAUUUCAGGAUAGUUCACCACCAAAGCUCAAAAGCCUUGGAUUAAAUUCCAAAGAACCUUCACCUUGGUCCAUAUAUCUGAGAUAUAAUGUUGGAGCUCACAUAUGAGUACUAUGGAGAGGAAAAAAUUGAUUCCUCAGAAAAGAAGCACGUAACUUCACUGAAAUCAGCAGCAAUUCACAAAGGAUAAACUGAGCCUCUGUCUCAACUACCUUCAAUGUAAUUAUGAUGCCAUCUUGGAAACUUCAGGCUCACAGCCAAGAAAAACAUACUAGCCAGACAGCUCAUACUAAACCACUGCUAAUUAUUUCAAUCAAAUAAAAAUAGUGACAACAGGAAACAUUCAUAUUUAUUUUCAAUAUAUGAGAGCAGUGAGGGAGAGAAAAAGGGACUUAGUAAUGCAGGUUUCUAAAUAACAAAUAAGUUUUAUUGGGGGUAUCACAAACUUCAGCUGGGCUGCAAAUUCUUUACUGAAUAAUAACAUUCAGGGUCUUGUUUUUCUACAACAACCUACAUACCACAGCUUUUCCAAAUACUCUACAAGUUCCCCAGACAUUUCAUUGUGUUCUCCAGUUCAAUACAUGUGUAUUUGAGCUGUCUCUCGGCAUACUCGAAAUCCAGUGGAUUUCCACGCAAGCCUUGUGGCAAGCAUGCCUUUGCUCACAGCACCGGGGCCCACUCAGCUGCACUGAAACAGCUCCAUUAAGACAGGAAGGGACACAGGUCACCCAGUAUGCAACAACCCGAAAAAAGUGGGAUGCUGCAUCAAUAAGACAUGUGCAGCCUGAAUUACAGCGACUUAAGUCACUGGAAAGGCCCCUAUUGAUUUCAAUGGUUUUGGUGGUAUCCAUACUUUUUGAGAAACUGUUGCAAAUAAGAUUUAGAUCAUUUGACUUGCAGCCAUUUACUUUUACAACUAGCACUCCCUCCUGAAGGUAAUUUUCAUGGGAGUCAGCCAUCUACCUCAGAAGGAUUAAAAGACUAAGUUGCCAUAUAGAAAAAAAAUGGAUCACAGGACCCCAGCUAUGUGAAAUAUGGCAGAUUUAUGAGGCUUCCAGUAUACUCAAGUUGACUCUCAAUCCUCACAGCUAAUUGUGAUCCAACACGGAAGUAUGAACUAACAGUAGCAAACAGACUUUUAGAUUCAUGAACAAACUUAGCAAAAAAUCGAUGUAUUUGUUAUUCAUAAUAUUUCUAUGGACAUUUCCCAGAAAUAUAUUUUAGAAUGUGUAUUUUUCACCAAAAAAAAAAAAAAAAUCCUUGCAACCUGUACUCCGGAGUUUAUUAACAAAAAAGCAAAUCCUCAAAUUCACAAAGUGUUUUGUCAGCUCCAAAUGGAUGAUAAGUUUUCAAAAACAGGCAAAAGAAAUGAGCAAGGCACUUGUGGUAGGAACAUCUGAUGAACAUUUGCUCAUAAUUAUUCAUUCAGGCAUUCUGGAAUUUCCCUGUCAUGGACAGUCUUCCAAACACAACGUCAUGCAUAUGAAUGUGCAUGAAAAGCAAAUAAAAAGAUGCACUUAUAUCUUUGAA